rnacentral:lncRNA from 1 species
CAGGAGCCAACUUAAAUUCGGUGACUGAGUAAGUAAAACAUAUAGAUACAGUCUUAACAUCAGGUUGAUUUUAAAACAUUUUCUUGAGACUGAACUAAUAAAAUCCCUGUUCCAACUGAGUAGGGGUGUAAUUUUCUACAUCUGUAUGUCUGUCUAAUAUUUCUGUUGCACUUCUAUCACCAAUUACAAAGCAGAGUUUGUGAUAUAUAUGGUAUACAAUGUAUAUCAGUAAGCUAC